rnacentral:rRNA from 1 species
AGAGUUUGAUCCUGGCUCAGAUUGAACGCUGGCGGCAUGCCUUACACAUGCAAGUCGAACGGCAGCGCGGGGCAACCUGGCGGCGAGUGGCGAACGGGUGAGUAAUAUAUCGGAACGUACCCUGGGGUGGGGGAUAACGUAGCGAAAGUUACGCUAAUACCGCAUACGAUCUAAGGAUGAAAGCAGGGGACCGCAAGGCCUUGUGCUCCUGGAGCGGCCGAUAUCUGAUUAGCUAGUUGGUGGGGUAAAGGCCUACCAAGGNCAUCGAUCAGUAGCUGGUCUGAGAGGACGACCAGCCACACUGGGACUGAGACACGGCCCAGACUCCUACGGGAGGCAGCAGUGGGGAAUUUUGGACAAUGGGGGCAACCCUGAUCCAGCAAUGCCGCGUGAGUGAAGAAGGCCUUCGGGUUGUAAAGCUCUUUUGUCAGGGNAAGAAACGGUGUGGGCUAAUAUCCCGCACUAAUGACGGUACCUGAAGAAUAAGCACCGGCUAACUACGUGCCAGCAGCCGCGGUAAUACGUAGGGUGCAAGCGUUAAUCGGAAUUACUGGGCGUAAAGCGUGCGCAGGCGGUUUUGUAAGUCUGUCGUGAAAUCCCCGGGCUCAACCUGGGAAUUGCGAUGGAGACUGCAAGGCUAGAAUCUGGCAGAGGGGGGUAGAAUUCCACGUGUAGCAGUGAAAUGCGUAGAGAUGUGGAGGAACACCGAUGGCGAAGGCAGCCCCCUGG